UGGGGUGUAGCCAAGUGGUAAGGUAGCGGUUUUUGGUACCGCCACGCGAAGGUUCGAGUCCUUCCACCCCAGCCA
rnacentral:tRNA from 1 species